rfam:Desulfovibrio bizertensis DSM 18034 genome assembly, contig: BR26DRAFT_scaffold_1000
GUUUAAGAUACUAAGGGCAAACGGUGGAUGCCUUGGCGCUAAGAAGCGAUGAAGGACGUGAUAGGCUGCGAAAUUCGACGGUGAGUCGCCAAAUAGACUUUGACCCGUCGGUGUCCGAAUGGGGAAACCCAGCUGGAGUUAUGUCCAGUUACUGCCUGGCUGAAUACAUAGGCCUUGCAGAGCGAACCCGGUGAAGUGAAACAUCUCAGUAGCCGGAGGAAUAGAAAUCAAACGAGAUUCCCAAAGUAGCGGCGAGCGAAAUGGGAUUAGCCCAAACCGUGCAGUUUCGACUGUGCGGGGUUGUAGGGCCGUCCAUAAGUGAUUCAUAAUUAGAUAGGGGAACAAGCUGGGAUGCUUGACCAUAGAGAGUGAAAGUCUCGUACCUGAAGUCGAAAGUGACACGGACGGUUCCUGAGUACCGCGGGACACGAGAAACCCCGUGGGAACCUGGGAGGACCAUCUUCCAAGGCUAAAUAUUACUUAGCGACCGAUAGCGAACUAGUACCGUGAGGGAAAGGUGAAAAGUACCCCUGUGAGGGGAGUGAAAUAGUACCUGAAACCGUUUGUCUACAAGCAGUGGGAGUGGACUUUGUUCCACAACCGCGUGCCUUUUGCAUAAUGGGCCAGCGAGUUAAUCUAUUGUGCGAGGUUAAGCCGAAAGGUGUAGCCGAAGCGAAAGCGAGUCUGAAUAGGGCGCCAGUACAAUGGAUUAGACCCGAAGCUAGGUGAUCUAUCCAUGAGCAGGCUGAAGCUUAGGUAAAACUGAGUGGAGGGCCGAACCGUUGUAAGUUGAAAAUUGCUCGGAUGACUUGUGGAUAGGGGUGAAAGGCCAAUCAAACCUAGUGAUAGCUGGUUCUCUCCGAAAUAUAUUGAGGUAUAGCCUCAGACUGAGAUUUGCGGAGGUAGAGCACUGACAGGGCUAGGGGGCUUACCAGCUUACCAACCCCUAUCAAACUCCGAAUGCCGUAAAUUUUGUCUGGGAGUCAGACUGCGGGUGCGAAGGUCCGUGGUCGAAAGGGAAACAGCCCAGACCGACAGCUAAGGUCUCCAAAUAUGUGCUCAGUGGGAAAGGUGGUAGAGUUGUUUAGACAGCCAGGAGGUUGGCUUAGAAGCAGCCAUCCUUUAAAGAAAGCGUAAUAGCUCACUGGUCUAAUGACUCCGCGCCGAAAAUGUAACGGGGCUAAGCACAUUACCGAAGCUUCGGGUUCACGAUUUAUCGUGAGCGGUAGGAGAGCGUUCUCACAGCGUUGAAGGUGAAGGCGUAAGCCACGCUGGAGAUGUGAGAAGUGAAUAUGCUGGCAUGAGUAACGAUAAAGGAAGUGAGAAACUUCCUCGCCGUAAAUCCAAGGUUUUCUGGGUAAAGGUAAUCUGCCCAGAGUUAGUCGGCCCCUAAGGUGAGGCAGAAAUGCGUAACUGAUGGGAAACAGGUUAAUAUUCCUGUACCUCGUAAAGUGUGCGAUGGAGGAACGCAGGAGGAUAGCUCAUCCGGGUGUUGGAUAUCCCGGUGUAAGCAAGUAGGCUUGAGGAAUUGGUAAAUCCGUUCUUCUUAUGGCUGAGAUGCGAUGCCGUGACCGCAAGGUCUGAAGUGAGUGAGUCCAUGCUGCCAAGAAAAGCUUCUAAGUUUAGCUUUACGAGACCGUACCGUAAACCGACUCAGGUGGAUGGGGUGAGUAACCCAAGGCGUUUGAGAUAACUCUGGCUAAGGAAUUCGGCAAAAUGACCCCGUAAGUUCGCAAUAAGGGGUGCUCCUAAGGGUUAACAAUUUACUUGCUAAGCCCUCGGGAGCCGCAGAUAAAUGGGGGGGGCGACUGUUUACUAAAAACAUAGGGCUCUGCGAAGUCGUAAGACGACGUAUAGGGCCUGACGCCUGCCCGGUGCUGGAAGGUUAAGGGGAGAUGUUAGUCUUUGACGAAGCAUUGAACCGAAGCCCCAGUAAACGGCGGCCGUAACUAUAACGGUCCUAAGGUAGCGAAAUUCCUUGUCGGGUAAGUUCCGACCUGCACGAAUGGCGUAACGAUCUCCCCACUGUCUCGGCCAGAGACUCAGUGAAAUUGAAUUGGCGGUGAAGAUGCCGUCUACCCGCAGCAAGACGGAAAGACCCUGUGCACCUUUACUACAGCUUGACAUUGGAUUUUGGAUUAACAUGUGUAGGAUAGGUGGGAGGCUUUGAAGUCGGCACGCUAGUGUCGGUGGAGCCAUCCUUGAAAUACCACCCUUGUUAAUUUAAGGUUCUAAUCCGAUACCGUUAUCCGGUUCGGAGACAGUGUCUGGUGGGUAGUUUGACUGGGGCGGUCGCCUCCCAAAGAGUAACGGAGGCGCGCAAAGGUUCCCUCAGGCUGAUUGGAAACCAGCCGUUGAGUGCAAAGGCAUAAGGGAGCUUGACUGUAAGAGAGACAUCUCGAGCAGGAACGAAAGUUGGUCUUAGUGAUCCGGUGGUCCCGCAUGGAAGGGCCAUCGCUCAUCGGAUAAAAGGUACGCCGGGGAUAACAGGCUGAUCGCGUCCAAGAGUUCACAUCGACGACGCGGUUUGGCACCUCGAUGUCGGCUCAUCACAUCCUGGGGCUGGAGCAGGUCCCAAGGGUUCGGCUGUUCGCCGAUUAAAGUGGUACGCGAGCUGGGUUUAAAACGUCGUGAGACAGUUUGGUCCCUAUCUGCUGUGGGCGUAGGAGAUUUGAGGAGGCUUGCCCCUAGUACGAGAGGACCGGGGUGAACGAACCUCUGGUGUUUCAGUUGUCGCGCCAGCGGCACUGCUGAGUAGCUAUGUUCGGAAAGGAUAACCGCUGAAAGCAUCUAAGCGGGAAGCCCGCUCCAAGAUUAGAUCUCCCUGAACUUCGGUUCCUAAAGACCCCUUGAAGACGACAAGGUUGAUAGGCUAGAUGUGUAAGCACAGCGAUGUGUUCAGCUAACUAGUACUAAUAGGUCGUGCGUCUUAAAUUG